GACGAACGCUGGCGGCAUGCCUAACACAUGCAAGUCGAGCGAGUGGAGUUCUUCGGAACAAAGCUAGCGGCGGACGGGUGAGUAACACGUGGGCAACCUACCUCAUAGAGGGGAAUAGCCUUCCGAAAGGGAGAUUAAUACCGCAUAAGAUUGUAGCUUCGCAUGAAGUAGCAAUUAAAGGAGCAAUCCGCUAUGAGAUGGGCCCGCGGCGCAUUAGCUAGUUGGUGAGGUAACGGCUCACCAAGGCGACGAUGCGUAGCCGACCUGAGAGGGUGAUCGGCCACAUUGGGACUGAGACACGGCCCAGACUCCUACGGGAGGCAGCAGUGGGGAAUAUUGCACAAUGGGGGAAACCCUGAUGCAGCAAUGCCGCGUGAGUGAUGAC
rnacentral:rRNA from 1 species